AACGAACGCUGGCGGCAGGCCUAACACAUGCAAGUCGAACGCUGUAGCAAUACAGAGUGGCAGACGGGGGAGUAACACGUGGGAAUCUUCCUAUCGGUACGGAAUAGCUCAGGGAAACUUGAGGUAAUACGGCAUACGCCCUUCGGGGGAAAGAUUUAUCGCCGAUAGAUGAGCCCGCGUCUGAGUAGCUAGUUGGUGAGGUAAUGGCUCACCAAGGCGACGAUCAGUAGCUGGUCUGAGAGGAUGACCAGCCACACUGGGACUGAGACACGGCCCAGACUCCUACGGGAGGCAGCAGUGGGGAAUAUUGGACAAUGGGCGCAAGCCUGAUCCAGCCAUGCCGCGUGAGUGACGAAGGUCUUCGGAUUGUAAAGCUCUUUUGCCAGGGACGAUAAUGACGGUACCUGGAGAAUAAGCCCCGGCUAACUUCAUGCCAGCAGCCGCAGUAA
rnacentral:rRNA from 1 species